rnacentral:rRNA from 1 species
AAAUAACCACCCUGACACACACAAUCUCAUCUGAUCUUGAAAGCUAAGCAGGGUUGGGCCUGGUUAAUACUUGGAUGGGAGAGCGCUAGGAAUACCGGAUUUC